UACAGAGGGUGCGAGCGUUAAUCGGAUUUACUGGGCGUAAAGGGCGCGUAGGUGGUAAAGCAAGUAAGAUGUGAAAUCCCUGGGCUUAACCUAGGAAGUGCAUCUUAAACUGCUUAACUAGAGUAUGGUAGAGGGUAGUGGAAUUUCCGGUGUAGCGGUGAAAUGCGUAGAGAUCGGAAGGAACACCAGUGGCGAAGGCGACUACCUGGCCUGUUCUUGACGCUGAGGCGCGAAAGCUAGGGGAGCAAACGGG
rnacentral:rRNA from 1 species